rnacentral:rRNA from 1 species
UACGUAGGUGACAAGCGUUGUCCGGAUUUACUGGGCGUAAAGAGCGCGCAGGCGGUCGAUCAAGUCGAGUGUGAAAGCCCCCGGCUCAACUGGGGAGGGUCAUUCGAUACUGAUCGACUCGAAGGCAGGAGAGGGUAGUGGAAUUCCCGGUGUAGUGGUGAAAUGCGUAGAUAUCGGGAGGAACACCAGUGGCGAAGGUGACUACCUGGCCUGCUCUUGACGCUGAGGCGCGAAAGCUAGGGGAGCAAACGGG